GGAGGUACUUGUUACGAAGGCAAAGCAACAAUUCCUUUCCACAAGUGAGAUCAAACCUCCCAAAGAUGUUCCCUUCAAGGUGUUUGUAGUGGAAUUAUUUGCAGCCCUUGUCGCCAAUCUCUAUGUCAACAACAACUGUUACCCUUACUUCCCAAUUUCAAACACAUUGGAGAUCUUCAAAAGAAAGAGUUUGUUAUGGGGAGCUUUGUCAGUGGUACUCUCUCCAGUAAUGUGC